rnacentral:rRNA from 1 species
CCCUUAGAUGUUCUGGGCCGCACGCGUGCUACACUGAGUGGAUCAGCGGGUCAGGUUGCGCGAAAGUGUUUCCUAAUCUUGAAAUCCGCUCGUGAUGGGGAUUGACGGUUGCAAUUUUCCGUCAUGAACGAGGAAUACCUUGUAAGCGCGGGUCAUCAUCCCGCGCUGAAUACGUCCCUGCCCUUUGUACACACCGCCCGUCGCUCCUACGGAUUGAGUGGUCCGGUGAGGCUUUGGGAUCUGAGCGGAAAGAGCGUUUCGCUGUUUCUGCUCGGAAAACUCAGUCGAACCUUAUCAUUUAGAGGAAGGAGAAGUCGUAACA